rnacentral:rRNA from 1 species
UAGGGAAUCUUCCACAAUGGGCGCAAGCCUGAUGGAGCAACACCGCGUGAGUGAAGAAGGUCUUCGGAUCGUAAAACUCUGUUGUUAGAGAAGAACACGAGUGAGAGUAACUGUUCAUUCGAUGACGGUAUCUAACCAGCAAGUCACGGCUAACUACGUGCCA